UACGUAGGUGGCGAGCGUUGUCCGGAUUUACUGGGCGUAAAGGGCGUGCAGGCGGUUUGUUAAGUGCAGGGUGAAAGCUCCCGGCUCAACUGGGAGAGGUCCUUGCAUACUGGCGAACUCGAGGGAGGCAGAGGAAAGUGGAAUUCCCGGUGUAGUGGUGAUAUGCGUAGAUAUCGGGAGGAACACCUGUGGCGAAGGCGGCUUUCUGGGCCUUACCUGACGCUGAGACGCGAAAGCGU
rnacentral:rRNA from 1 species